AUUUAUAUAAUAUAAAAAGUAUAAUUAACUUCCAAUUAAAAAGUCUAAAUUAAUUUAGUAUAAAUA
rnacentral:tRNA from 1 species